CCUUUUCAGUUGUUCUUUACCAGGUAGGUCAAUAAAGAACUCAUUGAGAGCCUGACCCCCUUGUUAUACAGGACAUCAACCCUGUGGUGGUGGUGGUGGUGAUGUCCUGUGUAACAAAAGAUAUCUGCCGUCAAUCAGGACUUUGAUAAAUACAACAAAAAGAACCACAGAGUGAUCCGUGUCUGAGACCAAACGAAUAGAUUAGUGUCAACAGUGUGGCAUGUCGUGUUGCUUUCUGCUCAAACUGAGGAGCAUCACGUGAACAUGGUUUAGCUACAUAACAAAUCUUUAUCAUAACCUUUACCCUGAUCUGAAUGCAAUGAUGAUGCAGCCAGCACAAGACUAGUUAGAGGUAGUUAGGUUACUUUAGGUCAGGCUGGGUUACUUUAGGUCAGGCUAGCGGUACAUACCCUGAUCGGAGGGUGGUGAUGAAGGGUAGGUAUGGUUACUUUAGGGUAGGUGAGGGUAGGGGUACAUACCCUGAUCGGAGGGCGGUGAUGAAGGGUAGGUAUGGUUACUUUAGGGUAGGUGUGGUUACUUUAGGGUAGGUUACUUUAGGGUAGGUGUGGUUACUUUAGGGUAGGUGUGGUUACUUUAGGGUAGGUGUGGUUACUUUAGGGUAGGUAUGGUUACUUUAGGGUAGGUGUGGUUACUUUAGGGUAGGUAUGGUUACUUUAGGGUAGGUGUGGUUACUUUAGGGUAGGUUACUUUAGGGUAGGUCAGGGGAGGGGUACAUACCCUGAUCGGAGGGUGGUGAUGAUGGAUAGGUAUGGUUACUUUAGGGUAGGUAUGGUUACUUUAGGGUAGGUAUGGUUACUUUAGGGUAGGUUACUUUAGGGUAGGUUACUUUAGGGUAGGUUACUUUAGGGUAGGUGUGGUUACUUUAGGGUAGGUUACUUUAGGGUAGGUAUGGUUACUUUAGGGUAGGUGUGGUUACUUUAGGGUAGGUUACUUUAGGGUAGGUUACUUUAGGGUAGGUCAGGGUAGGUGUGGUUACUUUAGGGUAGGUUAC